rnacentral:rRNA from 2 species
GCAGUCGAGCGGAUUGAUGGGAGCUUGCUCCCUGAUAUCAGCGGCGGACGGGUGAGUAACACGUGGGUAACCUGCCUGUAAGACUGGGAUAACUCCGGGAAACCGGGGCUAAUACCGGAUAACUCAUUUCCUCGCAUGAGGAAAUGUUGAAAGGUGGCUUUUAGCUACCACUUACAGAUGGACCCGCGGCGCAUUACCUAGUUGGUGAGGUAACGGCUCACCAAGGCAACAAUGCGUACCCAACCUGAGAGGGUGAUCGGCCACACUGGGACUGAAACACGGCCCAAACUCCUACGGGAGGCAGCAGUAGGGAAUCUUCCGCAAUGGACAAAAGUCUGACGGACCAACGCCGCGUGAGUGAUGAAGGUUUUCG